AUUGAACGCUGGCGGCAGGCUUAACACAUGCAAGUCGAACGAGUGGCGGACGGGUGAGUAAUGCUUGGGAAUCUAGCUUAUGGAGGGGGAUAACUACGGGAAACUGUAGCUAAUACCGCGUACCAUAGGAAGAGCCCAAGUGGGAUUAGGUAGUUGGUGAGGAAAAGGCUCACAAAGCCGACGAACUCUAGCUGGUCUGAGAGGAUGACCAGCCACACUGGUACUGAGACACGUCCCAGACUCCUACGGGAGACAGCAGUGGGGAAUAUUGCGCAAUGGGGGCAACCUGACACAGCCAAGCCGCGUGAAUGAAGAGGGCCUUCGGGUUGUAAAGUUCUUUCGGUAGCGAGGCGUUACCUACAGAAGAAGCACCGGCUAACUCCGUGCCAGCAGCCGCGGUAAUAC
rnacentral:rRNA from 1 species